UACGAAGGGGGCUAGCGUUGUUCGGAAUUACUGGGCGUAAAGCGCGCGCAGGCGGCUAUCCAAGUCAGUGGUGAAAGCCCGGAGCUCAACUCCGGAACUGCCAUUGAAACUGUUUAGCUUGAGGACGAGAGAGGUGAGUGGAAUUCCCAGUGUAGAGGUGAAAUUCGUAGAUAUUGGGAAGAACACCGGUGGCGAAGGCAGCUCGCUGGCUCGUUUCUGACGCUCAGGCGCGACAGCGUGGGGAUCAAACAGG
rnacentral:rRNA from 1 species